rnacentral:lncRNA from 1 species
AGUGAUGACACCAUGUUCAUGCCUUGUAACCUCGAGCCUUUCUAGACGUCCCAAAUAAUUGUAUCCCUUGUAAACCCCAGUUGAGCUUGUACCCAUUUGUUUGUUUAAACCCCGUAAAUGUACCCCUUGGCCAAAACACUUCCUUACCUUGUUCAGAGUCAUAUUGAUAUUAUUAAACUGUGUUGAAAAGCUAUGUUUGGGGUAAAAAACUCCAAGAGUUCCAAAAGCCCAGGUACGGGCUAAAACAAAGAAAAAAUUAGAAAAUCACCGAGAGAAAAAAAAGAACGAAUAUAUAAAUAAACUCGAAGGUUCAAAAGAAGCACGAGCCAAAGAAAGGCCCUCGGUUGAAAAAUAGAAAAAAGAGAAACCGAGUGAAAAAUAAAAGAAAAACAAACCAACACAGCAAACAUGAUGGUAACAUUGACUCUGAACCAA